CGCGGGCUGCGCAACUGGCGAUGGGGCACCGGGCAUCAAGCCCGCGAGCCUGAGGUGGUGAACCACCGGGAAGCGCAGCCGGUUCCGGGUUUCCGGCACCGGUUCAGCCGUUCGCCUGGGCAGCCCUG
rnacentral:ncRNA from 2 species